CUUUUUGUAAAACGGGCAUCAAGGGAAGGUGCUUUGAUUUCUCAUAUAAACUGAUUCUUGAAAACCCAGGUUCUAGCACACCAAAUAGGCAGGGACGAGAAAAAAGAGCAAAGCCCUCCUGUUGGACGGCAUUCUUACAUCACCCACUUUAAAAUUAAAUCUGAAACAGAGUUCUGACAGGCCUGCUAUUUUCUUCAGUGCCAACAGCCACACAAUAGACCUUUUUUUUUUUUUUUUUUUUUUUGGACAAAGCUCUUAAAAUGCUUGGAGAUUCAGAUGUACUGAGUCACCAGGGUUCACAAAUACUGCGCACCCGUUCUUGCGGGUGCCCCGUCCCUUCCUUUGGAAACGAUACUAUAUUUUCUCUGUGUUUGGCCGAAGGAAAGAAAUAUUUUCAUUGGACUUGCAAGCUGUUUGAAAGAGGGUGACUGGGGAGGGGCAGGUCUGAAAGUGGGUGGCUGUCCUUCGAUCUGGUGGCCUCCGAGCAGGGGUGGCAAAGUUACCAUUUUAGAGGGACCUGUUGGUUUUCCUUCCACGCGGCGUGCAAUGGUGCUCAACCCCACGGCCACAUCGGCUUCAAGCGCGCCCUGAGUGUAUAACACGCAGCACCGAGAGGUGACGCAACGCUUCACAGACACAACCGUGGGACUGCUUCGCCGAGUUGUGAAAUAAUUGAGAGGUGUUGCAAAUGCAUCCACGCGCCGCGAGUGAGCAACCGACUUCAAGUCUGAACACGUCUCCCGAGGGAUAUUUUAGCUUGACGAUAAUGAUGGCGAGUGUGCGCGCUUGAAAUCAGGAGGGCAAAAGGGCCCGAGGCAGAGCCAAGUUCCGUGGAGGGAAGGGGUGGGACUGGGAGCCACGGGGCGCGCGAGCGGGUGUAGACGCGGGAGGUAGUGGUUGCAUCUCC